UACGUAGGGGGCAAGCGUUGUCCGGAUUUAUUGGGCGUAAAGAGCGUGUAGGCGGCCAAGCAGGUCCGCUGUGAAAACUCGAGGCUCAACCUCUAGACGUCGACCGAAACCAUCUGGCUAGAGUCCGGAAGAGGAGAGUGGAAUUCCUGGUGUAGCGGUGAAAUGCGCAGAUAUCAGGAAGAACACCCGUGGCGAAGGCGGCUCUCUGGGACGGUACUGACGCUGAGACGCGAAAGCGUGGGGAGCGAACAGG
rnacentral:rRNA from 1 species